rnacentral:rRNA from 1 species
AUUGAACGCUGGCGGCAGGCCUAACACAUGCAAGUCGAGCGGAUGAAGGGAGCUUGCUCCUGGAUUCAGCGCCGGACGGGUGAGUAAUGCCUAGGAAUCUUCCUGGUAGUGGGGGAUAACGUCCGGAAACGGGCGCUAAUACCGCAUACUUCCUGAGGUAGAAAGUGGGGGAUCUUCGGACCUCACGCUAUCAGAUGAGCCUAGGUCGGAUUAGCUAGUUGGUGGGCUAAAGGCCUACCAAGGCGACGAUCCGUAACUGGUCUGAGAGGAUGAUCAGUCACAGUGGAACUGAGACCCGGUCCAGAGUGGCACGGGAGGCAGACGCGGGGAAUAAUGGAACCUGGGCGACAGCCUGUUCCAGCCCUGCCGCGUGUGUGAAGAAGGUUUUCGGAUUGUAGAGCACCUUACGUUGGGAGAAAGGGCAGUAAGUCACUACUUUGCUCUUUUGACGUUACCAACAGAAUAAGCACCGGCUACACUCGUG